rnacentral:misc_RNA from 1 species
GUAGGUGAACCUGCGGAAGGAUCAUUACAGAGUUCAUGCCCUCACGGGUAGAUCUCCCACCCUUGAAUAUUAUACCUUCGUUGCUUUGGCAGGCCGUGGAAACACCAUGGGCUCCGGCUGAUGCGUGCCUGCCAGAGGAAACAAAACUCUGUUUUUAGUGAUGUCUGAGUACUAUAUAAUAGUUAAAACUUUCAACAACGGAUCUCUUGGUUCUG